AGGCGCAGGGCGCGUGUCCCGGCCUGCACCGCGCCGCCCGCCUCCCGGCGUGCCCCGCGCGGGCCCGGUGCGGCCUGCGGGGCCGGGCCGCCACCGGCACCAGGCCGCGGGCGGCAGCCCCGCUGCCUCCUUCGGCCUCCUCCGGUCCGCCACCUUCCCCCCCGCCAUCGGGCCUUGUAGCUCCUUGUAAGUGACCCUUCCCAGACGCCUGUGCUCGUCACACACCCACACACACACCCGCCCACACCCCCGUCACUGGCACUGCCGUUCUUCGUCAGUUAGUGAUGUCUGUGGCAAAAAAAAGCUUCCAGUAUCAGUGAAGAGACUCAUACUACCAGAGGUGCUUGGAAUUAAAAGAAAAAGGCGGGUGCAACAGUAAGCUGAGCUGACCUGAAGACUGAGUUGCUGCUUCUCCAGAAGGAUGAUGGACUUUGCAGCUGAAGUUAUUAACAAGCUAACAGAGGAGAUUUAUAACGUACAGGCUAAGGUGACAGCCUGCACGAGGAGAGCACAUCAUCUCAUUCGGCCGGCUCCUGGCUCUUCAGCUUUCAGAGACUAGAUUGUGGCAGUUUGAUUGCUCUGGCCCUUCUCAGAACAGAUCCGGACAACGACUGUUUUAAGGUGGGUGUGAAUUCUAUUGGGACAAGUGGAACUGCUGACUUCUCCAGCUCAUGAUAUUUCCAGAUGACAACUAGAUACAACUAGAAAGUGAUAUUUCAUAGAAAUGCCCUCCUGAUAAGAAAAAAAAGCCAGAAAAGAGGCAAGUGGUGCGUGUGCACCGGACGCUGCUACACAGUGGGUUGCCCACAACCGGCAGAUGAGCAGCCAGGGCCAGGGGUGAGAGCGUUGGACAGAGAUGUGGAGACCAGGCUGCUCCCCAGCUGCAACGUGCAGGCGACGUGGUUUCUCCAGGGCUGUAGCACAAGUUUUAAAGAACAUCCUCGUGCCAACAGCAUAAACACCCAACAGCUGCUCCUCGCAAGCCUCAAACCACCUCCUGCUCCAGGCACCUCCCGCCAGGAAAUGAAUGUAAAAAGACCCACCUCUGAACCACGUAUGCUUGUAAAGGAAGCAAAAACCUUAAAUUCUCAUGUUGUAAAUUACAUCUAAUCUUUGGAGAAGAUCAAAAAAAAACCCCACCACAUUAGUCAAAGGAUUUGACUGAAAGUUUCAGAACCACAGACGGAAACUGAAGAGCCGUCCCGUCCCGUCCCUGCCGCAGAAGUGCCCCAGAGGCGCCCCUGAGGACGCAGCAGUGCCACCAGCUGCGCAGCAGGAGCCCUCUCUCCCUGGGAAGGCUGCUGCAGCCUGCAAGCGAUUCCUGCCCGUGGGCUGUGACAACGAACAGCCCAGAUAAGCAAGAGUGGCGUAAACCCAGAGCAGAGUCCACGAGGCCGGGCAGCCUGAAGGGAAGGAUGGACCUGGCUUCAGACCCAACCGCUCUGCUUCUUGGUGUCCUCAGGCCCCGCCGUCUGUGUUGGGCUGGGCUGUACAGGCAGCCCAGCAUCUGCUCUUCACAAGUGUGGGGUGUAACAGGGUAGACAUUGGACCUCAUUGUACUUCUAGCACAUAUGCAAAGUUUUAAAAACUCUCCCUAAGCAUUCACAGAGUCAAUCCAAAUAAUUUAAGUAUUCUGGUUUGUUGCUGUCCCUAGUAACAGGGUCAAAUGAUUCAGCGAAAACCUUUCUUAGUAUAAUCCUCCAGAGGUAGAUGAAUACACAGUUGGUGGAGUUUGGAUGUGUUCCCAAGCUGCUGCAUCAGUUGGGUCCAAAAACUCACAAUAAAUGAAUUUAAUCAGGAAACUUCACUCUCAUAUGAAUGUUUAAUGGCACUGAUUUAUACUUUCAGCUGCCAAAGUCAUGAGGUAGCUUAGCAAUUGAGAGCCCACAGAGCUCAAGGUUUCAGAACAACUCUCCUUGGAGAUUAAAGUGUUGCAAGAGAUGUUACUAGAUGGACAGAAGGAAAGCUCUGCCUCCUACUAAAGCGGUUAACCCUGCACAGGACUAAAGUAUUAAAAUGUAUCUGAUAGUGUUGCUUUUAAAAGCUGUGUUCUGACAAGUAUACUCCUUUAGAUCACUGGCUGUUGUAUUUUCAAUAAGUUUCUCUAACAAUUCAUUUUUGUUGUCUUGUUCUUUUAUCUCACCUGCUAAAAACUGAGAGCUAGGAGCACUUGCAGGAGUGCAGGGCCAGCGGCGGGUCUCUCAACUGUGCUGUAAAGCCACAGGUGGGUAUUGUGGCUCUCCGCCAUGGCACAAGUUCUGUGGUUAAGAGGUAUUGUUUUUAAAGCAAGUUUGAUCGCAGAAUAGCAAUUCCUUCUUAAAACUGGGGCCAUCUACAAGAACACUCUGUAAACCUGUGUGGUUUGUAGGAUUACUCACAGUGUGAAAGACAAGCAAGAGGUGGCUGGAGAAAGAAUCUGUGGUCUACUGCACUUAAACGCCUACAAAGCUGCAGCCCAGACCAUUAACUUAGACUGCAACAAAUGUUUGUCUCAGCUGUGCGUUUCAUCCCUGCUUCCUCUCAGAGGCAGUCUGUCACCUUUUUGUUGUUGUUAUCUUUGUGUCUGAAUGCCCUGCUUUUUGAAGCGCCACGUCUGUGACCAGUCUAACAUCUGAAAUCUGAUAGACCUGUAACACGCACAGCAAAACCGGUAUGGGUUGCAAGCUGUCCUACCCAAAGCUCUGCUGGUGUUCUUCAGCUUUGGUUUGCAAGGAAGGAACACACACAAAUGUACACAACGUGUGCAAAAUACGUCCAGGUUGCAAAGGGAAGGACUUAGGAAAUGUCAGAUUAAGUUUGCCCUGGAGUGGCUUUUACUGAGCUCCUUAAGCAUAUAUACAUUGUAUGACUUGCUUAUACUAUUUUUAUACAGGCCUCCUGCGGAGCGCAGCACACGGCCUGGACCGGCUGGAUGACGAAGGGCAUUCAUGUUGUUAAAACUCUUUCAUUUAUUGCAGCAGCUGUGAGCAGUGGGUUAAGGCGGUUAGCAGGAGGAUGGAUGAUUGAAAAGCAGCUGAAAAGUUCCUUGAAAAGUGAAGCACAUCCCUCCGUUAGCUACAACUGCCUGAUGGUACCAGAAAGGGCUUGGCUUGGCUUGGCUUUUCCUUUCCAGGCGUCCGCCCCAGCAGGCGUGGGGCAGGGGAAGCAGACACGCCAGAGCCCUUUGUCGUGGGCACCCACAGAGCCUGUGACCAAGCACAGCUCAGAGAAAGUUCUGCUAAAACGGCGCAGUGGACAGAACUUGGAAAAAGAUCUGCUGCGAGAAAAACUGUUGGUGAUGAGAGCUUUUCUUUAUGGCAGCCGCAGCAGGUGGAGGACAGAUUUCCCACUGGCUAGCCGACUCCACAGAGGAUGUGCAUUUUAAAAAAAUUAUUUUAUUUUAUUGAUUUGAGGGUAUUCGGGGACACCCAUCCGCCGGAGGUGGGGA